rnacentral:rRNA from 1 species
CCUUCGGGUUGUAAAGCUCUUUCAGACGGAAAGAAACGGUUACAGAUAACACCUGUGACCAAUGACGGUACCGUCAGAAGAAGCACCGGCUAACUACGUGC